CAAAACCUGGUUGAUCCUGCCAGUAGUCAUAUGCUUGUCUCAAAGGUUAAGCCAUGCAUGUCUAAGUUUAAGCCCUCGAAUGGCAAAACUGCGAAUGGCUCAUUAAAACAGUUAUAAUUUCUUUGGUGGAAAGUUUUACUUGGAUAACUGUAGUAAUUCUAGAGCUAAUACAUGAAAACCAACCUGACUUUUGGG
rnacentral:rRNA from 1 species